UACGGAGGGGGCUAGCGUUGUUCGGAAUUACUGGGCGUAAAGCGCACGUAGGCGGCUUUGUAAGUUAGAGGUGAAAGCCCGGGGCUCAACUCCGGAACUGCCUUUAAGACUGCAUCGCUUGAAUCCAGGAGAGGUGAGUGGAAUUCCGAGUGUAGAGGUGAAAUUCGUAGAUAUUCGGAAGAACACCAGUGGCGAAGGCGGCUCACUGGACUGGUAUUGACGCUGAGGUGCGAAAGCGUAGGUAGCGAACAGG
rnacentral:rRNA from 1 species